rnacentral:snoRNA from 1 species
ACAUUUUAAAAAGUUACAGAUGUGACAGUUGUUUCACGUGUGUCAUUAGGUGGGGGCUGGGGAGGUUUCCAUGUCUAGUGUUCUAACCUGUGAGCAACUGGAUGAUAAAAAAUCUGACACU